AACGUAGGACGCAAGCGUUAUCCGGAGUUACUGGGCGUAAAGCGCGGGCAGGUGGCUCUGUAAGUCUGAUGUGAAAGCGCCCGGCUCAACCGGGCGAGGCCAUUGGAAACUUCAGAGCUGGAGGGCAGUAGAGGCAGGCGGAAUUCCGGGUGGAGUGGUGAAAUGCGUAGAGAUCCGGAGGAACACCAGAGGCGAAGGCGGCCUGCUGGGCUGCACCUGACGCUGAACCGCGAAAGCCAGGGGAGCGAACGGG
rnacentral:rRNA from 1 species